rnacentral:rRNA from 1 species
AUUGAACGCUGGCGGCAUGCCUUACACAUGCAAGUCGAACGGCAGCACGGGAGCAAUCCUGGUGGCGAGUGGCGAACGGGUGAGUAAUAUAUCGGAACGUGCCCAGUCGUGGGGGAUAACGUAGCGAAAGCUACGCUAAUACCGCAUACGAUCUAUGGAUGAAAGCGGGGGAUCGCAAGACCUCGCGCGAUUGGGAGCGGCCGAUAUCAGAUUAGGUAGUUGGUGGGGUAAAAGCCUACCAAGCCUUCGAUCUGUAGCUGGUCUGAGAGGACGACCAGCCACACUGGAACUGAGACACGGUCCAGACUCCUACGGGAGGCAGCAGUGGGGAAUUUUGGACAAUGGGCGCAAGCCUGAUCCAGCAAUGCCGCGUGCAGGAUGAAGGCC